GGGUCAGUAGGUUGGUCGUGCCACCGGUACGUACUGGUCUCACUGAUUCCUCCUUCCUGAAGAACCGUAAUGCCAUUAAUUUGGUGUUGCGGGGAAACAGGACUGUUACUUUGGAAAAAUUAGAGUGUUUAAAGCAAGCUAGCGCUUGAAUACAUUAGCAUGGAAUAAUGAAAUAGGACGAUCGAUCCUAUUUUGUUGGUUUCUAGGAUUGACGUA
rnacentral:rRNA from 1 species